rnacentral:lncRNA from 1 species
ACAUCAUCAGGCGAGAUCUGCAAUGCUGGGUGGGGAAACCCCACAAUUACACGGGUGUAAAGGUGGCACCUGAUGAAGACAUUACCACAGACUGAGCUGUGCAGGGCCCUGUGAAUUUGCAAGGACUGAGCACGAUUCCGUGCAAAAGCCCCGGCCUAAUUUGUUGAGGUUUUAUGUAAGGGACGUAUCUCCCUCUGCUGACUGCAGAAGGAAACGUCACUCGGUGUUGUAAGUAAUAAAGAGCACGGAGAGGAAAGCGUUGCAAAACAAAAACACGAAGAGAAAAACAAGCAAACAAACAACAAAGCCUUAAAACGACAGCGUGCCAGGAAAAGAGAAUUUCAUAGAUGGUUUAUUUAGCCAACAUUCACACGGCGUACAGCUGACCCUCACAACUCAUAUAAGCAAGAAUUACAAAGCUGAUGGAGGAAUUCAGGGGUGUUUGUGGUGUGGCACUCGGAGUCCCAGCCUGCAGCUUCGGCCAUUCGUGGCUGAGUGAAAAUCUUAAGCAGGGUCACCCUUCUCGGAGGCACUCAUACAGGAGUGUAAUAGCUGACAGUUUUUAAAUCUUGAUCGCUGGAAGGCUUUUCACUGAAAGACAUCACAGAGAAGAGCAUUGCUUUCCGGAGACAAAGAGAGCUUAACCUCUCUCCUACAUUGUCAAGAGAUUAACAAGUCCUCCAGCACACCUGGGAGGGGCAACAAGGCGGAGACCUGUACGAGUGUAUACCAGCGCUGUCGAAGAUGCUGGUGAGAGACUGCAGAGAGACUGCUGGUGCCUGGCCUGCCUCAGACGUGCUGUCCCGUGUGACACCACUGAGGAGACCUGGAGAAUGUCGUCUGCUGAAAAUGUGUGGUACAGCAUUUGUGCAAGCACCUUCACCUAUGUGCACGCAUGGCCAAUACAGCCAGUCACAGAGACUGCUACCACACCAGCUGUGGACAGGGGAAUUCACAACCAUACCUAGUAUUACCUAGCACAGGAAGCUGUACUGAAGAGUGGCCUGUCACUGAAACCUGCUCACUAAGAACACUAGCUCUACUUCGAGGCUACAUGCAUCAGCUUAGAAAGUCAUUGUCAUACCAUGCUGUUUGAGAAAGAUAAAUGCAGUGCAUUAAAUGAAUAGGAUUUUGUUGUUUCUUCCGUUUUUUAUUUUUCUAAAGAGUUUCUCUACUAAUGCAUGCUAUUUUCUCCUUGUGCUUGAUCAUGCCAUAGCUACCUAAAAAAUUAGGCAAGCGGGCAGAUUAAUUACAUACAGUAUUAACAUGAUUAUUAUGAUCGUAGAAUCAUAGAAUCACAGAAUGGACUGGGUUGAAAAGAACCACAAUGCUCAUCUCGUUUCAACUCCCCUGCUAUAUGCAGGGUCGCCAACUACCAGAC